AUGGGGGGCAGCAUGGAGGAGCAGCUGCAGACGCCGGCGGCGGCGAAUAAGAUCGCGGUGCCGUUGAAGAAGCACCACCCCAACCUCCACAUGGCCCACGCCGGCGCGGGCAAGGGCGGCGGGAAGGCGCCGGCGGUGAUGGUGACCACGCCCAAGGCGGCGUCGCAGGCGCCGAAGCACGCGCACCUGCUGGCGAGCCCACGGGCGUGCCUCUGCUCGCCGACGACGCACGCCGGGUCGUUCCGGUGCAGGCUCCACCGCGGCGGCGUCGGCGCCGGCGCCGGCCUCCACGAGAUGGGCAAGAAGACCAGCCCCGGCGCGUGA
rnacentral:rRNA from 1 species